CCUAAUUGGAGGCCAGAGGAAGUCUCGGUAUUAACCGAGGCUUGCCUCGAGUAUCAGGAUGUACUCCGAGGAAGACUGUCAGCUCGGCUCACCUUUCGACAAAAAACACAAAGUGGGAGAUUGCCUCGCGAGUAAACGCAAUCAGGAUGUUGGCAAGAAGUGUGAGCGAGUGCAAAGUUAAGUGGAGUAACAUGACGACGGAUGUUAGGAAGAAAGAGAGGCACAACGUGGCCGAAACACGUCGAACAGGUGCAUCAUAAACGUUCAUCAAUUGAAUUUCCUUACAUGCGAUACAACGAUGAUCAAAAAGUGAUUAACGAUGAUCGCAAAGUGUUAUCUCCAGCGAUAAAUGUUUGCGUUGGUUUGCGAUGUUACACUACUUGCUCCGCAUUUUGCGGUUCCGCAUUUUCUGGUAGCUCCGACUACCGGACGUCCCGCUUAUUUAGGUCAACUGAGUUUGCGUUCUUCUCGUGGCGGUAGCUGUGUGGAGCGGGUGCCUUUUCAGGUGCUCCCGGUGAAUCCUGUCCAACCGCUCUGAACGUGAGUUAUUUUCUGUUAUAUGAAUGCGGAUAGAGGUAUAUUUGGUUUAAGAACAAUUUAUGUUCGUGAUAUUUCAAUGGUAAAAUUGUGUCAGCCGUACGUUAGUAUUUGUCGUUAUCUUGCGUUGGCGUUGUGUGAAUUUUCUAUGUAAGAUACGUUACGUACGCCAUAUUAUGACUGUUCGUUGAUAUAUAUUGCUAAUGCAUUGUAUGUAGCCAUUGAGUUUAAGUAGCCGGGAUAUAGUCUGAUGUAGAGUCGUAUAUUCGUUGCAGCCCGGGAAAUGGGUACCUGUUAUCUGUUGAUGUAAAUUUGAUGUGAGGCCCGUGACGUAUUCGAGGAAAGGCUUCAGCGUUUUGUAAGUAAAUUGGACGGUUCGCGCUAAAGUGCAGGUAGCCGUGAUAUCAGAAUACCCUGGAAGAUAUGUCGGAAUAUUAGUGUAUCAGAAUACCCCCUGGUAACAUAUGUCGGAAUGUUUGUCAUGGGGCGCAGAAUAUGUGUUACGUGUAGCGGAAUGUUGCCGUAGGGCGCAGAAUACCCCAGUAAUAUAUGUCAGAAUAUCCAAAGGUUCUAUCGUAUGAAUUAGAAGUGAAAUGGAGACUUAUCGCGUGUGCAAAGUUGUCAUUUGUUAGCAGUGUAUCGGUGAUACCUAUGUAAUGUGCGACUUGAUUUCAUUAUUGUGUUUGUGUGUGUAAUUUAAAGUUUGUAAUUUCUAUGUGUUACAGUCUACCAUCACGCGUCACAUCAUUACGCCACGUCACGCAUUACCAUCAUGCGUUACCAUAUGCGUAGAAAAUAAAAUGGCUGGUUGAACCGCAGCCUGAGUCUUCAUGUUCUUCCUCGUUUCGGCGGGCGCACGUCACACAAAGCCUAUUGUAAAGACGAAUAGUUAUGAUAUUAACACCCUUUCCUUAACGUUAAGAUUAAGAUGAAGGUUAUAGACUAAUUUUAUUUCUGACAUCGACACCCAGGAGGAGGAUAAGUAUGUCUGACAACAUUAUCAGAUGUUGAAGCAAAGAUUUUAGAAUGUUUCAUCCCGCCGGAAAGCGUUGCUGGUGUGACGGGAGGGAUGGAGAUAUCGGGUAAAUGUUGCAUAUAUAUUGUCAUACUAAAAUUUAACAUUAAAUGUUCGACUAUUUGUCUGUAUUUUAAAGUUUCACUACAUUUAAUGUGAUAGGCCCAAGCACUGCAAAUGCUGAUGGCGUUGCCUUCAUCGACAUGAUGACAGCGAUGACAGACAUGACCCAUGAACCUCCCCCGAAAAAGGCCAGAAAAGUUGAAAACUCGUUUGAACAAGAAUAUUUGGAGAUGAAGCGACAAAAUCAGAUUGACAGGUACAUGUUAAUUAGUGGUCUUGGUGGCAAGCUGUACUAUGAAAUCAAUUCUUUUAACAAUUUAUCCCCUGGGUGACACAAUAAUAUUUGGCACACCAAAUGUCUAUAACACAUAAAAAUAUAAAUAAUGUAAAACAAUUUCUUUAUCCCAUAGGAAUAGAAGACACCAGGAACUGGUGCAGGAAUUAAAAAACAUCACUAAAGAGUGUAAGCCUUAUAAAUAUAGUCUCUCUCUCUCUCUCUCUCUCUCUCUCUCUCUCUCUCUCUCUCUCUCU
rnacentral:lncRNA from 1 species